GAAUUUCCUUACAGGCUCACUUGAUUUUCUCCUGUGUUUAUGUAGGUGGAGGUCUGUACUUUGAGAACCCUGUAAGGCCCUCAAGGAUCCUUAUGUCUUGGUGGAGAUCAUUUCACGGACCUUGACAAGCUCUUCUGAAACCUCUGACUUUAUUUGCAUGAGAAGGACUUCAUAACAUCACUUUUGGGAUUGAACAAGGGAGCAAGGAAUUUUGGAAUGAGCUCACUACCCACUGAGACCUUUUUUGUUUUGAUUACUGGAUUGUACCAAGUGUUAUCCCGACAGCAGAGCACUGGUGCCAGAGGGAAAGUGAAAUACAAAAAAAAAAACCUCAAGCCAUUUUGAAGAGGAAUGAACAGACUCAUAGUGGGUAAAUCUGUGACUGGCUGCUAAAUACUGAAAUCUCCGUGUAACUUGUGCAUGCAGGAAUCACCUGCCAGAAGGCAGAGGUGUUGGUGCUGCAGACAGAGAGGAGCAGCAAGAAAGGAGGAGCUGCAGGUACUACCCCUUUAUUCACCUGUGGACUCCUGCCAGAUUCAGGAUGCUGACAUCCCAAGCUGAUGUAUUUCUAUGGAAUGGCUUCAUGGAUACCAUGAUGUGUGGAAU
rnacentral:lncRNA from 1 species